UACGUAGGGUGCAAGCGUUCAUCGGAAUUACUGGGCGUAAAGCGUGCGCAGGCGGGUUUGCAAGACUGAGGGGAAAUCCCCGGGCUCAACCUGGGAACUGCCUUUGUGACUGCAUAGCUAGAGUACGGUAGAGGGGGAUGGAAUUCCGCGUGUAGCAGUGAAAUGCGUAGAUAUGCGGAGGAACACCGAUGGCGAAGGCAAUCCCCUGGACCUGUACUGACGCUCAUGCACGAAAGCGUGGGGAGCAAACAGG
rnacentral:rRNA from 1 species